ACGGAGGGGGCCAGCGUUGUUCGGAAUCAUUGGGCGUAAAGGGCGCGUAGGUGGCCGCGCAAGUCAGAGGUGAAAUCCCUCGGCCCAACCGAGGAACUGCCUCUGAAACUGCGCGGCUCGAGUCCCGGAGAGGGCAGUGGAAUUCCCAGUGUAGCGGUGAAAUGCGUAGAUAUUGGGAGGAACACCGGUGGCGAAGGCGGCUGCCUGGACGGGUACUGACGCUGAUGCGCGAAAGCGUGGGGAGCAAACAGGA
rnacentral:rRNA from 1 species